rnacentral:rRNA from 1 species
CCUACGGGGUGCAGCAGUGGGGAAUAUUGGACAAUGGGCGAAAGCCUGAUCCAGCCAUGCCGCGUGUGUGAAGAAGGCCUUCGGGUUGUAAAGCACUUUCAGUGGGGAAGAAAGCCUUGGGGCUAAUACCCUCGAGGAAGGACAUCACCCACAGAAGAAGUACCGGCUAACUCCGUGCCAGCAGCCGCGGUAAUACGGAGGGUGCGAGCGUUAAUCGGAAUUACUGGGCGUAAAGCGCGCGUAGGCGGUCUGAUAAGCCGGUUGUGAAAGCCCCGGGCUCAACCUGGGAACGGCAUCCGGAACUGUCAGGCUAGAGUGCAGGAGAGGAAGGUAGAAUUCCCGGUGUAGCGGUGAAAUGCGUAGAGAUCGGGAGGAAUACCAGUGGCGAAGGCGGCCUUCUGGACUGACACUGACGCUGAGGUGCGAAAGCGUGGGUAGCAAACAGGAUUAGAUACCCGAGUAGUC